UACAGAGGGUGCAAGCGUUGUUCGGAAUUACUGGGCGUAAAGGGCGCGUAGGCGGCCUUCUAAGUCGAACGUGAAAUCCCUGGGCUCAACCCAGGAACUGCGUCCGAUACUGGAAGGCUUGAAUCCGGGAGAGGGAUGCGGAAUUCCAGGUGUAGCGGUGAAAUGCGUAGAUAUCUGGAGGAACACCGGUGGCGAAGGCGGCAUCCUGGACCGGUAUUGGCGCUGAGGCGCGAAAGCCAGGGGAGCAAACGGG
rnacentral:rRNA from 1 species